rnacentral:rRNA from 1 species
GACGGGGGGGGCAAGUGUUCUUCGGAAUGACUGGGCGUAAAGGGCGCGUAGGCGGUCAGCACAAGUCAGUUGUGAAAUCUCCGGGCUUAACUCGGAAAGGUCAACUGAUACUGUGCGACUAGAGUGCAGAAGGGGCAACUGGAAUUCUCGGUGUAGCGGUGAAAUGCGUAGAUAUGCGGAGGAACACCGGUGGCGAAGGCGGCAUUCUGGACUGCAACUGACACUGAAAGACGAAAGCCAGGGGAGCAAACGGG